UAUUUGGUGUGCUUCCUCGUUUUCUCCACU
rnacentral:piRNA from 1 species